UCCCUCUCUCUCUCUCUCUCUCUCUCUCUCUCUCUCUCUCUCUCUCUCUCUCUCUCUCUCUCUCUCUCUCUCUCUCUCUCUCUCUCUCUCUCUCUCUCUCUCUCUUACGUAAAUCAGCAGCCAAUGAUGGGCAAUAUGGCAAUUACCUCAUUUAAAUAGGGUUUACAUGUUCAACGUGCGAAUGAAAAAACAUAGGCAUAGUGUUGGAAUAAAAUUACUUAUUUAUAAUGAAUUCUUAAAUGCCACACAAACUUAAGUCUACCUGCAAAGUGCCAUUUAUCCUUCAAAUCAAUCAAGACAAAAAGGCUAAAUUAGGAUAUAUAUUAGGCGUGACUGGGCCUUAUACACAGAUGGAAAUGUAUUCCAACUACAGCAUAACCCCCACUAAACGUUAUUGGCUGCGUUUAUAUAUAUAUAUUUUUUUAAAUCUUUAUUUAACUAGGCAAGUCAGUUAAAGAACAAACGACAUAUGUUUACCUUGACAGCUCGGGGAUUCGAUCUAGCAACCUUUCGGUGACUGGCCCAACGUUCUAACCGCCUGCCGCUCCAAAAUAGGUUAAAUAAUAAUAGUAGGGAAAAUAGGUUAAAUAAUAAUAGUAGGGAAAAUAGUUUUAGACUUAUUAUUAGAAUAUUCGAAUAAUCCAACAUUUUAAUGGUCAUCAUUGUUAUUCCAAAUCAGAGCGAUUGGAGCGGAUUGUUAAUGUGAUUCAAUUAGCAUAGUGUUUGAAGUGUAUGGAACCCACUCAGGGCGUUGAGUCAAGGUCAAGGUCAAUCCCUGAACGUCAAACCCUUUAAAUGAACUCGAGCGCUCCUAAAUAAACAGUGUAGACCUAUGUAGUAAUGCACUCUCUCACAAGGCAAAAUAUAGUCCUUUCGAAUCGUGAAAUAUAAAUAAGCCUAUUUUUUUUUCUUCCAAAAUUCAAUUUAGAUUUGGAUCCCAAAUCAGUGUAAAUAAUUUACGGUUGAUCUGAAAUUUAGAGACCGGACGCUUCCGAAUGGAUGGAGAAUCAUCAAUGCGUCGACUAGCCAUGCGGUCACUUUGUUUGAUGAAUUGUAGGCUGAACAUGUCCAACAGACAGUAAGCCACAAAUUAUAUGAAGUGCGCAACAUUGUGUCAAGUGAAUAUUGGAAAUCAAUGCGCCUGGCACAAUUCUACCUAUCGAAUUAAGAUUUGCUUUUGUUGCAUAGCAACUUUCAAAUACAGAUCCCACUUAGUGACAUUAGGCGUGAUAGCGCGUUAUAGUAAACCUUAUGCACGAGCCUUUCUUUAUAUGUUAGUUCCUAUUUGAUUGAUUAGUUAUUGAAGUGAUGCCUAAAGCAAAGACCUGUCGGCUAAUUUGCUUUAUGGGUAUUAAAGCUAACAAUCCUUUUAUAUAUAUAUAUAUAAAAACAUGUAUCUUUAAAGUCUAUUUUAGGCGAUUUUGUGUCAUUUGUUUAUUAUCUGUUUACAAAUAGGCAUAAUAACCACGCAAUCACAUUUCUUUUUAAAAGUCCUUUUUACGUCAGUAGUUGUCACAAAGUGCUUUAGUAACCUCAUGCUUUAUAAUAAACCUUAACUUUGCAUAAAGGGCUUUCCUUGCAUUUCCUUGUUAAUGUUCUAGCGGUUUCCAUGAGGAUCUUUUUCAGCCAUUAUUAACGGCCACAUCUAGUGACCUGUCUGUCCGACUGAGCUAAUAGAGGGCGCCUCUUGUUUUCUCAGCUUUUUAAAACUUAACCCGUCCACUUUUUUUUGUGCAAUUGAUAUUGGAUUAAAACGUUUAUUUUAAGAAAGUCCUUUUUUUUUUUAAGUAUGAAAAAUGAAUAAGAUGUAUGCCAAUGUAUGGGGGACAAUUUAAUUGUAUUAUUGACGUAGGCUAUUGAAACCCUUUCAUGGUAUCAUUCCUUUUACGCUGCUCUACUCUCUUUGAAUUGGAAAAAAAAAAAAAAACAUUAAAAUACUUUCUAACUUUAUAAACGUCGUUCCGUCUGGUCCUUUUUCUUAGAUCCAGCCCUGGCUCUUAUUAAAGUGUCUAAACUAGGGUGGCCUUCUCAUUUAUUUUAUUUAUUAUUGUUGACUUGACAUACUUAUAGUCUGUCAUUCCUUUUCUGCAAGUGAACACGACUUGUUUUUGUCUUUAGCGUUGUGUGGAGUGGAGCCGGGCACUGAGCAGCAGCCCUGUUGUCCUACACUACUGCUGUGUGUCACUACUCUGUCCCCGCCUCCUUAAGUGGGACUGGCUUCAGCUGAUUCAUGUCCUUCCAACCAGGCUCUAUAUACUGACCUCUGCUCUUUUAAGAUGGUUACUGAAGAGGAGACCAAUGCCACGUCCUGAAUGGUUCCCUAUUCCUUAUCUAUUCUCAUAGGGGCUCUGGUAUAAAAAAAAACCUAGUGCACUAUAUAGGGACUUAGGGUGCCAUUUUGGGAUGUUGAGGCUGUGAUCACUGAGCACAUAACCCCAUGUUGCAGCCUACUUAGUGUCUUCUCUGGUUACAAUAUCAAGUGUCUAUACAGACCGCAAAAAAAUAAAACUAAAUAAAAGGAAAACAUAUUUAUAGAAAUAGUUUGUGGACUUGAGAGAUGCGUUUAAAUGAGUAGGGUGGUAUGAUUACUCUGGUCCCAGAUCUGUUUGUGUUAAUCGUGUCAACUCCUUGGCGUAAUAAUGAGUGAACAUUACAUAUCUGUGACCAGGCUAUGGUAUGACUGGGAUCUAGCCCACCUGGGUAGCUGUGGUUAUGUUGGCUCCGCAUCGUGGACUGUCCUGCCUCUUCUCUCAGCCGACUCACUCCCUGGCAUAGGAGGAGCAUCUGCUGGGCUUGGGGAGACAAGGGGAAAACAUUGAGUAAAACAUCUGGAAUUAGAUCCGUCAUGAAAAUAAAUGGUAUGUUUUGCAUAGAUUACCAGGGUAGGAUGAAUGUUGUUUAAAAAUAAAUAAUCUAAGACACCGUUAUUAAGCUCGUUCCUAAUAGAGUCAAAGCUUAAAGGGGCAAUGUGCAGUUGUUUCAUCCAUUUAUUUAUGUUUUUACUUUUGAAUUAAUGAAAUGUACCCAAUGAUUCUUGAAGGAUAUUACUUAUAAUCUCUUUAUGUAGUGUUGUGUGUUUUGUCCUAUAUUUAUAUUUUGAUUUAUUUAUUUUUAAUCCCAGGCCCCUGUCCCCACAGGAGGCCUUUUGCCGUUUGGUAGGCCGUCAUUGUAAAUAAGAAUUUAUCCUUAACUGACUUGCCUAGUUAAAUAAUGGUACAUUUAAAAAAUAAAAUAAAAUGCCUCAUGAGCUUAGUUCAACUGUCGUACCCCGUCAGAAACCAAAAUGUAACCUUGUUUAACUCUAAUGUAUGUAAACAAAGUACAUGUAAAAAAAUAAAAAAUAAAAAAUAAACACUAUAUAGCCUCAAAACAUGGCUAAAACUAUAAUUGUUAUAUCAUGGAUGGUCAGUCCUUGCGUCUAUAGCUCUGCCUAUGAAUUUGGAAUGGUUUCUCCUAAUGACAACGGCAAGGACUUGGGUAGAAUGAAACCUUGAGAAGGACCAUGGCCUGGAGGUAAAGCCCUCUCCCCUGGAAACAGACCAUGGCCUGGAGGUAAAGCCCUCUCCCCUGGAAACAGACCAUGGCCUGGAGGUAAAGCCCUCUCCCCUGGAAACAGACCAUGGCCUGGAGGUAAAGCCCUCUCCCCUGGAAACAGACCAUGGCCUGGAGGUAAAGCCCUCUCCCCUGGAAACAGACCAUGCCCUAGAGGUAAAGCCCUCUCCCCUGGAAACAGACCAUGCCCUGGAGGUAAAGCCCUCCCUUUCUGGAAACAGACCAUGUCCUAGAGGUAAAGCCCUCUCCCCUGGAAACAGACCAUGUCCUAGAGGUAAAGCCCUCUCCCCUGGAAACAGACCAUGUCCUAGAGGUAAAGCCCUCUCCCCUGGAAACAGACCAUGUCCUAGAGGUAAAGCCCUCUCCCCUGGAAACAGACCAUGUCCUAGAGGUAAAGCCCUCUCCCCUGGAAACAGACCAUGUCCUAGAGGUAAAGCCCUCUCCCCUGGAAACAGACCAUGUCCUAGAGGUAAAGCCCUCUCCCCUGGAAACAGACCAUGUCCUAGAGGUAAAGCCCUCCCUUUCUGGAAACAGACCAU